AUGUGGCCAAUUUGGCACCUUAGAAAUAGAUUGACGCAGGAGGAGGAAGGGUUCGACCCGGCAACCUCUAUCCGUCUUAUUAGGGAGGCCAUCACACUCGUGGAUAUUCCUGGACCUCAUGCUCUAGUGAUGCCCGGCCAUGGUUGGUGGCAUCCUCGAGACCCAGAUUAUGCCAAGAUUAACACCCACACUGCUAUCAAGCGAGAAGAUGGGAGAGGAGGGGCUGGGCGUGUUGCUCGAUCAUCCAGUUCAUUUCUACGGGCGUGGAGUAAGCUAUACCAAAGAGUAAUUGACCCUCUCAUUGCGGAGCCGAUGGGUCAUCUUCGCCAAGCUUAG
rnacentral:rRNA from 1 species